rnacentral:rRNA from 1 species
CAGUCACCGCGGUAAUACGUAGGUGGCAAGCGUUGUCCGGAAUUAUUGGGCGUAAAGCGCGCGCAGGUGGUUUAAUAAGUCUGAUGUGAAAGCCCACGGCUCAACCGUGGAGGGUCAUUGGAAACUGUUAAACUUGGGUGCAGGAGAGAAAAGUGGAAUUCCUAGUGUAGCGGUGAAAUGCGUAGAGAUUAGGAGGAACACCAGUGGCGAAGGCGGCUUUUUGGCCUGUAACUGACACUGAGGCGCGAAAGCGUGGGGAGCAAACAGGAUUAGAUACCCCCGUAGUCCCUGUCUCUUAUAC